AAUGGUUAAUUCCUUUGCUCAACGGCAACCACCGUCCACCGUCCACCUCUUUCUAUCUCCCCUCAUCUCCAUUUCUUCAUCUUCUUUAAGAUGAAUGUCGAGAAGCUCAAGAAGAUGGCCGGUGCGGUCUGCACUGGUGGAAAGGGUAGCGUGAGAAGUUAUGAUUUUUUUUUUUAGCAUGCUGCUAAAUUAUGGCUAGGAAUUGUGGUUAAAUGUUUCAGUAGUUAUAGAAAUGCCUGUUAUUAAUGACGUGCUGUUGAAAUUCCAUUUGAAAAUAAUAACUAUGCAUACAUCACUUGGAUAAGAAACCUAGUUGGGUGAUUAGUUGUGUGUGUAUAUGUCAUUACUGUACAUUUGUUCUGUCGUUGUAUCGAUGAACUCGUCUAAAUAUAUGGCUUUUUAUCAUUUAUCCAGCUCAAUGCUGCCUUCAUUAAUGAGUUUUUUCUUGUGUGCUUUGGAGAGUUACAUGUCUCAGUCUGAUGGAAUUAUGGAUGAAAUGUCAUUUCAAGUCAUGAUUAGGAUGUCAAUAUACUUGUGUGGAUUAGGAUGGUGUAGUUUUGCGAACUGUGUUUUCCCAAUGAUUCUGUUUAAUGUGAAUUUUCUUGUUUGAACCUUGUUGAAUAACUAUAUACAACUAUACAAUUUUAAACUUUAGUAUGAAUUUAAUAGAAUUUAUUUUUUUUUUCUAUUAGAUGCCCCAACACUUUGUAGGUGUUUUGUCUUGGUUCUUUUUUGAUGUUCUUCUGUUACACUUUCAUUUGGUUCUUUGUAUUGGUUUCUAAUGCUAUGAUUUUUAUACAGGUAGCACAAGAGAUUAACUUAGAGGCAAAACUUCAGAGUGACUUUGUAGAUCAGUUGAUUAUACUACAAGAAGUGCCCU